GCCGAGAUGGCGGAACUUGGUAAACGCGCUAGCCUUGAGAGCUAGAGGGCUUCGGCCCACGCAGGUUCAAAUCCUGCUCUCGGCG
rnacentral:tRNA from 1 species